rnacentral:lncRNA from 1 species
AUGAAGAGUGACCACUCUAUGAAUCAUCCUGUUAGCUUUAAAGAUGGACGCCCCUCCAGAGAGGAGAGCUUGGUUGAACAAGGAGGUGGAGACGUUCCUCGGCAUUCUUGGGGAGGAAGACGUGCAGAGGGAGCAGUGAGGAACGAGAAGGUCUUCCAGCUGGUUUAUGGUCGAAUGGCGAAUGCGGGGUUGACCCUCUGAAC